GCUGUGGGGGGAGGGGGUUGUUCAAGGGAUGGGGACGAUCAGGGUCUCUGGGAAGUGCUGACGUGUGCGCGUGUGCGGUGUGUUGCUUGUGGGUGCAUGUGUGGUGUGUUUCGUAUGUGGUGUGUGCAUGUGUGUGCGCGCGCGUGUGUGCGGGGUGUGCGGUGCGCGUAUGCACGCGGUUCGGGGGAUGAGCAGGGGCGCUGACUUUUAGGACUAGCCAUUUGAACCAAGUUGGAGGCGACGUCUUAGAAUCUAGGAUGAGUCUCGUUUGGUUUUAGUCUGCAAAGCUCGUCUGGAUCAGACAGGAAUUUUCCCCAGACGCGGGUGCACGUGAAUUACUUCAUCAGAAGGCGGUUCACGGCCUGAGUGAGGGGGACUAGGGCGGCGAAUCCCUCCGCCUCAUUCCUACCCUGACGAUUCGAGAUGCUCGCUUCACCCCACUGAGGAGUAACUCAGUUUUGUGGGAUCCCACUGCCCUCCAGGUGCCGCUCCGAGUGCUCUACACAGAUUUUCAUUCAGUCCUUGCGGCACACGAAGCCUGUUAAUAUGAUGAAUUACACUGAUUCAGUUUCAAAUGUCCAACCAAGCUUGCACUCCAGAGAUGAAGCCCACUUGAUCACAUGUAUUAUUCUUUUAAUAUAUGAUGGAUACGACUUGCUGUUCUUUUGUUGAGGAUUUUUGUGUUUAUGUUAAUGGGGAUAUUAUUUGUAGUUUUCUUUUCUUGUAAUAUUUUUGUCUUUGUUCAGUGUCAAAGUAAUGCUGACUUCAUAAAGUGAGCUCCCUCAUUUUCUCGUUUCUGUAAAAGAAUUGUAUAGAAUUGAUGUUAUUUCUUCCUUAAGUGUUGAGCAGAAUUCACUUGCAAAGCCAUCUGAAGUUGACAUCUUCUUUGGGAAUGACUUGAGCUAUAAAUUCAAUUUAUUUAACAGAUAUAGGGCUAUUAAGGUUAUUUAAUUUUUUUCUUGAAUGAGCUUUAGUGUCCUGUGUUUUUCAAGGAAUUUUUCCAUUUUAUUUAAGUUUUUAGAUUUGUUGGCAUAAAGUUAUCCCAGUAUUUCCUUAGAAGUUGUGACUUUUACUGCAUAUAAAACAUUCCUCAAUAAAGCUAAAAUAUAUAUAUAUAUAUAUAUAUAUAUAUGAAUCCUUUUUGGCCAGGUACAGUGGCU